rnacentral:misc_RNA from 1 species
GUGAAUCAUCAAAUUUUUGAACGCAAAUUGCACUCCCUGGUAUUCCGGGGAGUAUGCCUGCUUGAGGGUCGUUAGAAGAAAAAUCGAAGCAUCGCCUUUUUUUUGAGGGUGAUCGUGUCGGAAUUGAGCCGUUUUUCACAUGUUAAUUCAUGUCAAAGUGGCUUAAAAUUCAUCCAUCCGGUACGUUUAAAGCGUAUUUAAGAUCAAUUUUGAUUAAGAACGCUCGAUGCCGU